rnacentral:rRNA from 1 species
UAGCGGCGGACGGGUGAGUAACACGUGGGCAACCUGCCUCAUAGAGGGGAAUAGCCUUCCGAAAGGAAGAUUAAUACCGCAUAACAUUGUUGAAAGGCAUCUUUUAACAAUCAAAGGAGCAAUCCGCUAUGAGAUGGGCCCGCGGCGCAUUAGCUAGUUGGUGAGGUAACGGCUCACCAAGGCGACGAUGCGUAGCCGACCUGAGAGGGUGAUCGGCCACAUUGGAACUGAGACACGGUCCAGACUCCUACGGGAGGCAGCAGUGGGGAAUAUUGCACAAUGGGCGAAAGCCUGAUGCAGCAACGCCGCGUGAGGGAAGACGGUUUUCGGAUUGUAAACCUCUGUUUUCGGUGACGAACAAAUGACGGUAACCGAGUAGGAAGCCACGGCUAACUACGUGCCAGCAGCCGCGGUAAUACGUAGGUGGCAAGCGUUAUCCGGAAUUACUGGGUGUAAAGGGAGCGCAGGCGGGAUAGCAAGUCAGCUGUGAAAACUAUGGGCUCAACCCAUAAACUGCAGUUGAAACUGUUAUUCUUGAGUGGAGUAGAGGCAAGCGGAAUUCCGAGUGUAGCGGUGAAAUGCGUAGAUAUUCGGAGGAACACCAGUGGCGAAGGCGGCUUGCUGGGCUCUAACUGACGCUGAGGCUCGAAAGUGUGGGGAGCAAACAGGAUUAGAUACCCUGGUAGUCCACACUGUAAACGAUGAUUGCUAGGUGUGGGGGGUCUGACCCCCUCCGUGCCGGAGUUAACGCAAUAAGUAAUCCACCUGGGGAGUACGACCGCAAGGUUGAAACUCAAAGGAAUUGACGGGGGCCCGCACAAGCAGUGGAGUAUGUGGUUUAAUUCGAAGCAACGCGAAGAACCUUACCAGGUCUUGACAUCGAGUGAACGGCUAAGAGAUUAGCUUUUCUCUUCGGAGACACGAAGACAGGUGGUGCAUGGUUGUCGUCAGCUCGUGUCGUGAGAUGUUGGGUUAAGUCCCGCAACGAGCGCAACCCUUACUGUUAGUUGCUACGCAAGAGCACUCUAACAGGACUGCCGUUGAUAAAACGGAGGAAGGUGGGGACGACGUCAAAUCAUCAUGCCCCUUAUGACCUGGGCUACACACGUACUACAAUGGCAAUUAACAAAGGGAAGCAAUACAGCGAUGUGGAGCAAAUCCCCAAAAAUUGUCCCAGUUCAGAUUGUAGGCUGCAACUCGCCUACAUGAAGUCGGAAUUGCUAGUAAUCGUAGGUCAGCAUGCCGCGGUGAAUACGUUCCCGGGCCUUGCACUCACCGCCCGUCA